AGGUGGAACCAAUGAUAGCAAAUGCUGACAAAGAGAAAGCUGGACAAGCAGUUUUUUGGUGAUUAAUACCGAAGGGACGGGAUGAAAGAAGGAAGCAAGAAUGCAGUUUAGUGGACCCUUGACAGCACCAGAAGCUGCGGCAGUAGGAGGUGUUCUGGCCUGGGUAACUAAGGUAACUCUUGAUGCUGAAUGUUAGUUAUUUCGGCCUCCCGGAGGCAGCGCUGAGGACUCAGUAACCCGUUCCUACCCUGUGGAUAUUGUUCACUGUAUCUGCCUUAGUUUUGUUUUGGUCGUUUCUAUUUUGUUUUGUUAUCAUACGUGCAUCUAUAGAAAGGGAAAGAUACAAUAUUUAAUUUUUAGAUUAAUUGCCACGGCUGAAGUUGAAGAGACCAGAAAAAUGUAAGCAAGCUGAAGUAAUAAAAUCAAAAGGAACCAAGCGAGAGCUGUCUCCAUCGCCCAAAAAGGGAAAGCCCAUUCCUCCUGGCGAGGAAGGAUCACCAAUAAUAGCAAUUGGAAUAAUAGAUCACCAACAUAUAACGGAAGGUCUGUACGCAUUACAAAAAGUAUGCUACGUACAUAUAUUUCUGCGCGUGUGACUUCAUGCAUCUAUGAAGCAUCAUACUUUAAGAGCUACAAGACAGCAAACUAUUAUCCUAGGGGAAUGGUGGUCAAGUGGCCAGAGUUACUGAAGAGACAGAGACAGAGAGACAGAAGUGUCUGAAUUGUAAAACGAAGAGAUGGCUUUCAGGAAGGCUCAGUUAGCGCGACCCCAGGUUAAUUGCCUGGCAAUGGCAUUUGGGGCAGCAGGAAGGCGGCAGCUAGAAGAAAAGUUAAAGCCUUGCGGAAUUAAGACUCCUUCUCGUCAGUUCCAACUCCGAGCAAUCUUAGGAGGAUUUAAUUUCCUCCAGCAGCGUUAACCUGGCUUUGCCAGUAUCAGCGCACCGUGAUGGAAAUGACCGGAAAGGAGUCAGGAACGGAACCGGAACAAGGAACAUGAGGCUGCUUUCACUGGACUGGAAGAAGCGGCUAAGAUCUGCUGCCCUCAAAUCCCCAGGACAAGGCCGAUGGAUUUUACUAAGCCUCCAUCAACAAGCGCUGGCUGACAGAGCUGUUACGUCCCAGCGGAGACUCUUAGGCAAGACGGAGGAGUUCAGCUCCGCAGCCUGCCAGAAGAGCGUCGCCCGCGAGGGGUUGCUAGCCUGGAGUUAUAGGCGCCGAUGCACAUGGCUCGUUCUGUCAGGCGCGAAGAGGCAUUCAGAACAUCGGGGAACGACUGUAUGCUGCCGUGAAGAACUGUUAGAGAAUAUCGGACUGAAGCUGUCUAGAAUUAAUUGCUUAGCAUAACUUGCUUAGCAUUAGUAGCUAAAUUUGCUGAAGCCUUAGGCCUCAGGCUGUGAACUUUUACUUAGAUAAGUAAAAGGGGGCCCCAGAGCCGGUUCAGGCUGGAGGGAUAAAGAAGUUACACGGACAGCAGGAGUAGCCGACCUUGAAGAUAAGAAGCAGCCUGCCUAGAGACAAUGAAGGGGCCCAAGGAAGAAGGGGAAGAACCCAGACCUAACUAUUACUAUUGGUSCAAACUAUYGCUUAAGGKGUGGGGAAUUUAGAUUGUAAGGGUAUAAUUGCCCAGGGAUUUCUUUGUUUGGAGUCCCUCUUCGGAGGCACCCAGCUCGAGCUGUAAUUACCACACAUGUAUCAUUAAAUUUUAUUUCUCUCCAAUCUGACUUCAAACUUCUGCCUCAGCAGGAACCUAGGGUCAGAUCCUGUUAUGGUGGCCGGUGAGCCUAAUUUUCCAUCACAGAACUACAGGCUCCCGCCCUCAGCCCUUUGCAAGUUAUCAGGUGUCAAGAGCGGCCAGGAGACUCCAAAUGCCAGGGGAAAGGUUCUCUGCCCGGUCCUGACGAGGAGCCUUCGGCCGUAGGGGGGUUGGCAGCAUUACUGGCAGGUUACCGGACUUGUGAGUAAUAAGCCGCAGUUCACGGAGCAGCAGGGAAUGUGG
rnacentral:lncRNA from 1 species